rnacentral:rRNA from 1 species
GACGAACGCUGGCGGCGUGCUUAACACAUGCAAGUCGAACGGAAAGGCCCUGCUUGCAGGGUACUCGAGUGGCGAACGGGUGAGUAACACGUGGGUGAUCUGCCCUGCACUUCGGGAUAAGCCUGGGAAACUGGGUCUAAUACCGGAUAGGAGCCAUUUUUAGUGUGAUGGUUGGAAAGUUUUUUCGGUGUAGGAUGAGCUCGCGGCCUAUCAGCUUGUUGGUGGGGUAAUGGCCUACCAAGGCGGCGACGGGUAGCCGGCCUGAGAGGGUGGACGGCCACAUUGGGACUGAGGUACGGCCCAGGAUCCUAAGGGAGGCAGCAGGGGGGAAGAUUGCACAAUGGGCGCAAGCCUGAUGCAGCGACGCCGCGGGGGGGAUGACGGCCUUCGGGUUGUAAACUCCUUUCGCUAGGGACGAAGCUUUUUGUGACGGUACCUAGAUAAGAAGCACCGGCUAACUACGUG